CGGGACUUGCACGUCGAUAGCCUCGGGAUAAGGAUGGAUAUUGAUAUCUUUCCAAAGUCCUGCUUGCUUCCAUCUUUGGUCCUGAAGUGAACUUGCCAUAUAUUGUGAAACUUAGCCCCUAAGUAUUCUUGGAGUAGUCCUCGCCGAAGAUGAGCAUGAAUGGGCUGCAUGGGACCCUAGGCUAAUCAACCCAAGCCCUUUUUGGGGCCUCUAGCCUUCGUCUUUCUCUAAGUUGUCGCUUGUCCUGAGCCUUAUCCAAUUAUGCUCCAAUUUAAUCCAAUUUCCUGCGAAAAUAAAUGUCCUCCAAGUACAACACGUAUCAACACGUAUCAACACGUAUGCGAUAAUGCGGUUAUUUCAAGUGCUAAAUUGUGGGUUAGUAUAAGAAUAUGUAUGAAAAUACCACUUAAAUGAUACUAAAAGUGUGUCAAUAAUGAGCGUCAACACUAAACCUGCAGCAACAAUAGAGAAAUGCAACAAAGAUACACAAACAACAACAGAGAGAUGCAACAAAGAUACACAAACAGAUUGCCUAACAAUAGAGACCAACGGAGGAAGAGCGUGGAGGGUCAUGCAAGACAAUACCUCCAAGAAGAAAACAACGUCCAAGACGU
rnacentral:lncRNA from 1 species